AUUAUCAUGUCACAAAAAUUGUAAAUACAUUCGAUUAUUUACGCAAACCUCUGCCCAAAACACUUUAUACAAUAAUUGUUCGCCCGACUUGAUUUUAUUAGUUAACCGUGCCUAAUGGAUAUUAUAAUAUGUACUGUGUAAACGGAAUUUACGAGUCGACUAGAUUUGAUUUUUUUUUAUUAUUAUUAUUAUUAGUAAUAUAAGAACUAUUGUAUCGGUAUAAAACAUAAUAAAUAUAAUAUAGAGCAUGUUAUAUUGUAUACAUAUUUGUGGAAAAAUAAAAA